CUUUUUACGAAAAACAGUAAUAAAACAAUAAUUUUAGUUAGAAGCAUACCAUUUAUUAUCUAAGUGAUCAUGAAAGUACCAAAUCUAUGCAUGCCAUCACCAGUAUCCAAAUAAUACUAUUAUAAGCAUCAAUAUGUCUAUAAACUAUGGCCACUUUCCUUACAAGGAUAAAACACUUCUCGAAAUCCAACUAAUACCACAAACAUGGCUUUGGGCCCAAUAAUAUAUAUCU
rnacentral:lncRNA from 1 species